GAGCCGGGACCCCCAAAAUCCGGAGCGGGGCCGCAGCCGAGCCCCUCGUCAGGGGAGGGGGUGGGAAGCGCUGGGCUGUCCGCCCCCGGCCCUUUCUGCGUUUCCAGGCACCAUCGGGGCCGGGGCCCCCCCCCCUCCCCCCCGUGCCAGCC